rnacentral:rRNA from 1 species
GAUGAACGCUGGCGGCAUGCCUAAUACAUGCAAGUCGAACGAGAGGAAGGAAAGCUUGCUUUCCUGAAUCUAGUGGCGAACGGGUGAGUAACACGUAGGUAACCUGCCCAUGUGCCCGGGAUAACUUCUGGAAACGGAUGCUAAAACCGGAUAGGUAGCAGACAAGCAUUUGACUGCUAUUAAAGUGGCCUUGGCCAUGAACAUGGAUGGACCUGCGGUGCAUUAGCUGGUUGGUGAGGUAACGGCCCACCAAGGCGACGAUGCAUAGCCGGCCUGAGAGGGCGGACGGCCACAUUGGGGACUGAGACACGGGCCCAAAUCCUACGGGAGGCAGCAGUAGGGAAUUCUCGUCAAUGGGGGGAACCCUGAACGAGCAAUGCCGCGUGAGUGAGGAAGGUCUUCGGGAUCGUAAAGCUCUGUUGUAAGAGAAAAAACGGGCAACGUCAUAGGGAAUGGAUGAAGUGAGUGAUGGUAUCUUAA